CGGGGGUAGAGCACUGUUUCGGCUAGGGGGCCAUCCCGGCUUACCAACCCGAUGCAAACUGCGAAUACCGGAGAAUGUUAUCACGGGAGACACACGGCGGGUGCUAACGUCCGUCGUGAAGAGGGAAACAACCCAGACCGCCAGCUAAGGUCCCAAAGUCAUGGUUAAGUGGGAAACGAUGUGGGAAGGCACAGACAGCCAGGAUGUUGGCUUAGAAGCAGCCAUCAUUUAAAGAAAGCGUAAUAGCUCACUGGUCGAGUCGGCCUGCGCGGAAGAUGUAACGGGGCUAAACCAUGCACCGAAGCUGCGGCAGCGACGUUUAUGCGUUGUUGGGUAGGGGAGCGUUCUGUAAGCCUGCGAAGGUGGCCUGUGAGGGUUGCUGGAGGUAUCAGAAGUGCGAAUGCUGACAUAAGUAACGAUAAAGCGGGUGAAAAGCCCGCUCGCCGGAAGACCAAGGGUUCCUGUCCAACGUUAAUCGGGGCAGGGUGAGUCGACCCCUAAGGCGAGGCCGAAAGGCGUAGUCGAUGGGAAACGGGUUAAUAUUCCCGUACUUGGUGUUACUGCGAAGGGGGGACGGAGAAGGCUAUGUUGGCCGGGCGACGGUU
rnacentral:rRNA from 1 species